UACAGAGGUGGCAAGCGUUGUUCGGAAUUACUGGGCGUAAAGGGCGCGUAGGUGGCCUUCUUAGUCAGACGUGAAAUCCCCAGGCUUAACCUGGGAACUGCGUCUGAUACUGGAAGGCUCGAGUUCGGGAGAGGAAUGUGGAAUUCCAGGUGUAGCGGUGAAAUGCGUAGAUAUCUGGAAGAACACCGGUGGCGAAGGCGGCAUUCUGGACCGAAACUGACGCUGAGGCGCGAAAGCCAGGGGAGCAAACGGG
rnacentral:rRNA from 1 species